GGUUGACCUCGGAUCAGGUAGGGAUACCCGCUGAACUUAAGCAUAUCAAUAAGCGGAGGAAAAGAAACCAACCGGGAUUGCCUCAGUAACGGCGAGUGAAGCGGCAAGAGCUCAAAUUUGAAAUCUGGCCCCCUCGGGGUCCGAGUUGUAAUUUGCAGAGGAUGCUUCGGGUGCGGCCCCCGUCUAAGUGCCCUGGAACGGGCCGUCAUAGAGGGUGAGAAUCCCGUCU
rnacentral:rRNA from 1 species